UUCAUAGGAGACACCUUGAGCAACGCCAUAUCUCCCUCCUGAAACUCUACAUGCUUCCUGCGGACAUCUGCAUAGCUCUUCUGCCGACUCACAACAGUUUUGAUCCUUUAUCUGAUAAUGGGCACUACUCUGCUGGUGAUCUCUACUAGCUCAGGCCCUGCUAAGGCCCUUUCUCCAACUUCUUCCCAGCAGACAGGUGACCUGCACUUCCUUCCAUACAAAGCUUCAUAUGGAGCCAUCCCUAUGCUAGCAUGAUAGCUGUUAUUAUAGGCAAACUCCACCAAAGGUAGAUGUUGCCUCCAAGAACCGCCAAAAUCAAGCACACACAUUCUGAGCAUAUCUUCUAUGGUAUGGUACCCUCAUAAUGUCUAGCACCCUCAUAAUGUCCACAAAAUCUAGCACCCUUAUAAUGUCUCCCUUCAGACUUACGUCAUCUGGUACACAUAACCUGUUCCCAUAGCGGAGGAUCCCUUUGCUGUCAAAUCUGAACUCUUCAUUCUUGCCUGACUGAACAUCCUGGAAGUUUUCACUAACUCUGGGUCCUCAUGCUGUUUCUGAGCCACCUGCUCUAGAAACACGGGUGUCACUCUCAUCUGAGCUAUCAAAGCACCUGUACCAGACAAUUCCAACUGCAGCCCUUCAUCAAUGAGCUUGUAAAAUUCCCUCACCACCGGUCUUCUCUCUGCUGUAACAUGGGAUAAACUGCCAAGUAAUUUCCGGCUUAGGGCAUCUGCCACCACAUUUGCCUUACCCGGAUGGUACUGAAUCUUGCAAUCAUAGUCACUAAGCAGUUCCACCCAUCUUCUCUGCCUUAGGUUUAACUCUCUCUGACUUAAGAUGUACUGCUAGCUUUUAUGAUUUGUGAAGAUCUCACAUUUAACCCCAUAAAGGUAAUGCCUCCACAUCUUGAGUGCAAAGAUCACAACUGCCAUCUCUAGGUCAUGUGUGGGAUAAUUCAACUCGUGCUUCUUCAGCUGCCUAGAAGCAUAAGCAGUUACCCUCUCAUUUUGCAUCAACACACAACCUAGUCCCACACGGGAUGCAUCACAAAACACUGUGAAGUCUUCAUUACUGGUAGGCAGAGCUAACACCGGUGCUGACGUCAACCUUUUCCUCAGCUCUUCAAAACUUUCCUCGCACUGAUCAGACCAUACAAACCUCUGAUUUCUCUUGGUUAACCUGGUCAUAGGAGCGGCAAUUUUGGAGAAGUCAUGAACGAACCUCCUGUAGUAACCUGCCAAACCCAAAAAGCUCUUAAUCUCUAUCACUGUAGUGGGUCUAGGCCAGUUAGCUACAACUUCUACUUUCUUGGGGUCCACUUCAAUUCCCUUUUCUGACACAACAUGUCCCAAGAAGGAAAUGCUCCUCAACCAGAAUUCACACUUGGAGAACUUGGCAUACAAGCCGUACACCCUCAGGGUCUGCAAAACUAUCCUCAGAUGAUGGGCAUGCUCCUCUGCGUUUCUGGAAUACACCAAGAUAUCAUCAAUGAAGACAAUAACAAAGUGAUCCAGAUACUGACUGAAAACUCUAUUCAUGAGAUCCAUGAAUGCUGCAGGGGCAUUGGUUAGCCCAAAUGACAUUACUAGGAACUCAUAAUACUCAUAUCUGGUCCUGAACGCCGUCUUCGGCACAUCUUCCUCUCUGAUUCUCAGUUGGUGGUACCCAGAUCUCAGAUCUAUCUUGGAGAAGCAACAUGCUCCUGCUAGCUGGUCAAAUAGAUCAUCGAUCCUGGAUAGAGGAUACUUAUUCUUGGUAGUGACUUUGUUCAACUGCCUGUAGUCGAUACAAAGUCUUAAGGAUUCAUCCUUCUUCUUUACGAACAGCAUGGGAGCACCCCAAGGUGAGGUACUCGGUUGGAUGAAACCCUUGUCUACCAACUCUUGCAACUGCUCCUUUAGCUCCUUCAAGUCUGCUGGAGCCAUCCUGUAGGGGCGAAUAGAGAUUGGUCUGGUUCCAGGCAUCACUUCUAUUUCGAACUCUAUCUCCCUAGCAGGUGGUAGUUCUGGAAGCUCAUCUGGGAAGACAUCUGGAAACUCUCUGACUACAGGCACGGAGGUGGGCUCCCUAACCUGACUAUCAAGCUCUCUCACAUGAGCUAGAAACCCCUGACAACCUCUCCUGAGCAACCUACGAGCCUGUAGGGCUGAUAUCAGACCUCUAGGUGUACCCCUACUGUUUCCCCUGAAGACAACCUCUGACCCAUCUUGUCCUCUAAACCUGACUACCUUGUCUCUGCAGUCCAAGGAAGCACCAUGAGCGGAUAGCCAAUCCAUCCUUAGAAUGACAUCAAAACCAGUCAAAUUUAGAACCACUAGGUCUGCUGGAAGGCAUCUACUCUCAACAAACACUGGGCUAUACCGGCAGACUGACUCUGCCACUGAUGGAUCACACUUGGGUCCACUGACCCAGAGGGGACACUCUAACCCAGAGACUAUCAAACUCAACCUCUCUACGGCUCUCGGAGCAACAAAAGAAUGAGAUGCACCAGGGUCCAUUAAAGCAUACGCAUCUGAACAACCAAUGAUGAGAUUACCUGACACCACGGUGUUUGACGUGUUUGCCUCAUGCUGUGUCAUAGUGAAGAUCCGAGCUGGAGCUGAUAGACCUUCACCCCGGGAACCUGCUGAAGAAGAGGCUGCCCCUCUCCUUCGGCCUCUGCCACUGCCACUGCCUUGUGUCAUGACUGGAGCUACAGGUUGUGCCACACUGCCUGAAGCUGUCUGCUGGGACGGUGCCAUGAAAGCUGCCCUAGGACACUCCCAUGCCAUGUGUUCCUCCUGCCCACACCUGAAGCAGGCUGUUGUCCCAAAUCGACAUACUCCCUUGUGCGGCUUCCCACACCUCAUGCAUUCUGAACCAUCUGAACCUGAGCUCGAGCCACCACCUAAUCCCAGACCGGACUUUAACCGGUUCCAGAACUUGCUCUUCUUGGUCUUGGAUCUGCCCCACUUUUUACUACCUGAAGCUGCUGCACUCAGAGAAGAGGGAUCUAACUUUCCCCCGCCUGGGGUCUUGGAACCCGAAGACUGUGCCACUGACUAUUUAACUGACCCCUCAAUGAUGGCACUAGCCUCCAUCUUCCGUGCUGCAUCCACAAUAGUGUGGAAGCUCUCCCUCUCUGCUGCAAGGAUUAGGGAGGAAUACCUAAGCUGGAGCCUCAUGGUAUACCUCCUAGCUUUCUUCUGAUCUGAGUCAUAUGCCUGACCCACAUAUUGCAGCAACUCUAGAAACUUGUCGGUGUACUCAUCGACACUCAUCUCCUCUGUUUGCCUUAGCUGUUCAAACUCAAGAACUUUCAGCUCCCUGGGGAAAGCCCAUCCAGCAAACUCAUUUGCAAACUCCUCCCAGGACAAGCUCUCCAACCUCGGGUCCACAUAGUUUUUAAACCACUCUCAUGCUUUCUUGCACUUCAAAGUGAACCCCGCCAUAUGAAUGGCUCUACUAUCAUCUGCCUCCAGCUCAUUUGUUACCAUUUUUACCGUUUUGAGGUACUCAAACGGAUCAUCUCCCGUCUUGAACUUGGGAGCAUCCAGCUUCAAGUAAUCGGUCAUCUUUACCUUGCUCCUCACAGAUGAGCUAGGUUUGGGUGUUUGGAUUUCAGGGGAUACAGGUUCUGCUGGUGGUGGAGGAGGUGCAGCAUUCCCUGGGUUAGGGUUUGCUGUAUUUGGGUAGAAGGGUGAGGGUGGAUACGUGGGGUACUGUGGUGGGUAAAAAGGAGGGUAAGGCAUGUAGGAGGGAUAUGGGUUAAAGCUGGAGUAAUCCAAUGUACCCCCCAUUGGAUACCCUGGGCCCUGUGGAAAGGGUUGAUACUGGGGUGGAUAACCAAACCCCGAGGCCUGAGCGCCUCCUUGCGACUCUCCCAUGCCCUCUUCUGACAUACUCAUGCCCAAACUACCAUAUCUUCUCUAUUCAUCCUCCUCUGAUCCCCUUACAUCAGCUGACAUACCACCCUGAACUGUCCCCCUCCUGCUUACAUCAAAAGACCUUCUAGGGUCCCUUGACGGAACCUCUCUACUUGAUCUACAUGACAUUGCCCUUGGCAAAGUAGGGGGACGGGCAUCCAUGCCCUCAUUCUCUGGUGGGACUCCAGUCAAUCGUGCAGAUCGACGAGUGCCUCGCAUUCUGUUUUCUGAAACACAACAUAUACACAUAAACAUUAGCAUCAUAUGGUUCAUGUGGAAACAUAUGAACCCGCAUCAUACAUAGCAUAUCAAUAAUGCACAUGCAUAUAGUCAUGGCAUUUCACAUCAUCGUCAUGACAGGACUCUAUAUCCUAUCCUAGUGGACAUGAUUUUUCCUAUUGUGCUUGCCCUUCUAUGACAUCUAUGAGCCCGACACUCUCUAGGUCCGACCAUAUGAACCUAGGGCUCUGAUACCACUCUGUAACAACCUAGAAACCGGACUGCUACCGGCACUAGAAUCUAGAUCAACUUAAGGUCGCUGGGACCCUUAGCAAGCCUACUAUACAUCCUGUGUACCUGAUAAAAUCCUAUACAUGAUCAUACAUUUUUAUAAAAACUUUAAACUUUUCAUAUACCAAGCUUGACCUGUGCAUGCACCAUAACUGUAAACAUAAAACCCCACACUAGAGCCCUCAUCAAAUGCUCUAGUGGGGCAACAUAUCAUACGUCAAGCCUGGUUCAACAGAACUCAUCAUUAAAACAUUUCAUAUAGAUCAUGUACAAAAAGGGGAUUACCAUUACUAUUAGGGCCAAGCACAAUACUAAACCAUGAAACAUUUCUCUACAUUACAUUACAUCAUACCAUUUUACAUUACAUGUCCACUACUAAUCUAUUACACUUAACACAACCUUCAACCUUGACGACUUCCCGGUCUAUCCCGAACCUUCAAACCUGGGGGUUAAGGGAAAGGGGUGAGCUACUAAAGCCCAGUGAGCACAACAAUAAAAUAAUUUACUAAACAAAUGCUUUCAUGAAAUGCAUCACAACACAAACAAUUCACAUCACAGAUGGACUUGUCACCAAUAACCCCCUUUCCUCUUGAUCAUAACAAAAUGCCAAGACGCGUGGAAUGGGCAGCCCUGGACUUUCUUACGUGGUGCCAGGACGCGUGGCAUGGGCAGCCCUGGACUUGCUUAUCAUACCAUACCGAGGGCUAAUGGGUCAUCCAAUAUCCAUCCACAUCAACAUCAUAAUAUGCAAUGCAUCAUAUUCGUGAAUUCUUAUGCAAAACAGCCUAAUACAUAUCAUGGCAUUCGUGAUGCAUGGAUCAUGCUAAAUAGAUUUCAUUACUUUGAAAAUAAGAGAAGUUAUGUUCUACUCACCUCUGGCUGAUACUGGACUGACUCUGAAGCAGCUAUCUCACUACUGACCUCCUCUGUUCCUCGGGUCCGAUCCUACACAGGUGGACUCAAAUGAGGGACCAAACAUACUCUAACAUGACCUUAAACAUCUCCCAAAAAAAUCCCCUAAAACAUCAUAAACAUGCAUGGAAAAACAAGCAAAGGAAGGCUGAACAGGGGAUUUUCGGCGGUAGGUUCGGCGGCCGAAGGUCCCUCUAGAGCCGAAAGUCAGGCACUUUCGGGGGUAGGGUUCGGCGGCUGAAAGCCCUUCCAGAGCCGAAAGUCACAACCUUCGGGGGCAGGUUCGGCGGCCGAAACUCCCCUCUAGAGCCGAAAGUCCAAACUUUCGGGGGCGAGCUUAGGCGGCCAAAACUGCCUCCACAGGCAGGUUCGGCGGCCGAACCUGGGCUCUCCAAAAAGGCAGAACCCGAUUCUGCCUUGCAUAUCCAGCCACCCACAACAUCCCAACAUGCAUCAAACUAUACUAAAACAUGCAUAAACACAUUUCCAAGCAUAUAGGGGCAUAAAACUAGCCUAUACCCCAAAAACAUCACAUUUAGCAUACAUUUAUCAUUUAACUAACAUAAACCCUAACAUUUUACAACUAGCCUAAACAUGCAUCAAAACCCUUAACCCCUUCUUAAAACUUACUUAAAACAUCAUAAAAGGCGUGGAUCGACACUUACCUCUUGAAGAUCGAGAGGAGAUGCGGUCCCAAACUCGGAGAUAUGGAGGAACGAGCUCCGGGGGUCUCCAAGCUUCAAAACUUUGAUCUUUAGCUCAAAAAUCUUCAAAACAAGAUGAAAGCUUGUCAAAAACUUGAAAGAUUUGAAGGAAAACAUAAAAUCGACCAAAGGAAGGCGAAAUAUCACCUAUGCCCGAAAAUAGAGAGAGAAAACUCGCCCAUUUUCGUACAAGGGGCCUUAUAUAGGUGGCUGGCCAGACCACCUUUGGGGGGCCAAAGGUGCUUCCGCAAGAGCACAAUGUUCGGCGGCCGAACAUGAGGUUCGGCGGCCGAACCUGGACUCUUUCUCCAUGGUGUUUCUUUCAAAAACUCAUUUUUUUUUCUUCAUUAAAACUAUAAAAACAUGUAAAACAUUUUAUAAAAACAUAAUUUACCCUUCUAGAGGAUUCCGACAUCUGAGAUUCCGCCGGAAAGUAGGAAUUCCGAUGCCGGGGUCUAGCCGGGUAUUACAUUCUUCCCCCCUUAAGAACAUUCGUCCCCGAAUGUUCAACACACAAGCAUAGCAUGGCAUAAAUAUAAACACAUAAACACUAACCUUAAAAGAGAUAGGGGUAUUGCUGGAGCAUAGACUCUCGUGUCUCCCAGGUACAUUCUUCUAUGUUGUGGUAAUUCCAAAGGACUUUCACCAUCGGGAUUUCCUUGUUCCUUAGCUUUCUGAUCUGCAUGUCUAGGAUCCGCACCGGCUGCUCAACAUUGGUGAGAUCUCCUAGGAUCUCCACAUCAGCCUCAUUAAGAACCUUGCCCGGAUCUGACAUGAACUUCUGUAACAUGGAAACAUGGCAAAUCGGAUGGAUUCUCUCCAUUGAAGCAGGUAGGUCCAGCUUGUACGAUACAUUCCCAAUCUUCUGCAAGAUUUCAAAGGGUCCGAUGUACCGUGGAGCUAGCUUACCUUUCUUCCCAAAAUAAAUCACCCCUUUCAUAGGAGACACCUUGAGCAACACCAUAUCUCCCUCCUGAAACUCUGCAUGCUUCCUGCGGACAUCUGCAUAGCUCUUUUGCCGACUCACAGCAGUUUUGAUCCUUUCUCUGAUAAUGGGCACUACUCUGCUGGUGAUCUCUACUAGCUCAGGCCCUGCUAAGGCCCUUUCUCCAACUUCUUCCCAGCAGACAGGUGACCUGCAUUUCCUUCCAUACCAAGCUUCAUAUGGAGCCAUCCCUAUGCUACCAUGAUAGCUGUUAUUGUAGGCAAACUCCACCAAAGGUAGAUGUUGCCUCCAAGAACCGCCAAAAUCUAGCACACACAUUCUGAGCAUAUCUUCUAUGGUCUGGAUGGUCCUCUCUGACUGUCCAUCAGUC
rnacentral:lncRNA from 1 species